AGCGAACGCUGGCGGCAGGCUUAACACAUGCAAGUCGAGCGGGCAUCUUCGGGUGUCAGCGGCGGACGGGUGAGUAACGCGUGGGAACGUGCCUUCUGGUUCGGAAUAACUCAGGGAAACUUGAGCUAAUACCGGAUACGCCCUUUUGGGGUAAGGUUUACUGCCGGAAGAUCGGCCCGCGUCUGAUUAGCUAGUUGGUGGGGUAAGGGCUUACCAAGGCGACGAUCAGUAGCUGGUCUGAGAGGAUGAUCAGCUGCACUGGGGCUGAGUCGAGGCCCAGACUCCUACGGGAGGCAGCAGUGGGGAAUAUUGGACAGUGGUGGCAACCUUGAUCCUGCCAUGCCGCGUGAGUGAUGAAGGCCUUAGGGUAGUAAAGCUCUUUUAUCCGGGACGAAAAUGACGGUACCGGAAGAAUAAGCCCCGGCUAACUUCGUGCCAGCCGCCGCAGUAA
rnacentral:rRNA from 1 species